UCUGCUCCCCCACUCGUCUCCCCCCCACGUCUCAUACCCUUCUCCACAGGCGGCGGCGCGACGGGAUUGACGCCCUCCUCAUCCUCUUCUUUAUCCCACUUCCAGCGGCGGAGUCAGCAACGACGGAGCCGGCCGGGGGCACGCGGGGCGCGGAUGAGCCGGAGCGCGGCGGCGUUCGAGAGAGGAGCAGCUGGCCGCGUGGAGGUCGAGCCCGGCGGCGGCGGGGACUGGAGGCGGCGUUCGGCACCGAGGACGGCUGUCGCCAAGCCACCCUGGGGCUGACGACCGAACGUGCGGGGACGGAGCGGGCAGACUCUUUCGUGGGCAGCGGCGACCGCUACUAGGUCGGUCAGGCGGCGAGCCUCAUGGGAGGGGUUGUGUUGAUUUUAGGCAGCGAUGGAGGCUCGCCAGACGGCCGGCAUGCCUAGGAGAUGCGGGUCAGGCGACAUCACGGGGCUGAGGGUUUGUGGCCGGUGGUGUGAUGAAGGCCAAGAGGAGGAGCUGCAACAAUGUGAGAUAUGGAUCAAACAUGCAUAUACGGGAGAAAGAAGGUGCCCACGGGACUCGCUGCAAUGUCAAGCCAAAUGGAUUUGGGGCAUUCUUCUCUCCCUGCAUGGAAGGUAAAAUCAUUGGAAAUUAUCCUUUGGCGUUUGGCACAGAUUGCCUGGCUAUUGGGCAUCAUCUGCAGUGAUACCUCAUUCAGAUAGCCACUUAUCAUGAGCUUCUGUUGCACAAAGAUCUGCACAUGGAUUUUUCCUGUUCUUCUUCAGUCUCUAGGCUCUGGACUGUCAAAACGUAUCUUGGAGAUUAUCAGCUUAAGGAAUUUAUUAACCUCAGUCCUCAUUAAAUUGCGACUUGGAUAACCCAGUCAAAAGGUUCACUUCCAAUCACUCUCUUCAAUUCUUAUCCUUUUCCUUCCGAUGAUUGAAGAAGUCAUUUUCUUAGCUUUUCAAUCUCAUGCUCCUUAUAGAUGGAUGAUAUAUAUAUCAGGGAGUAAGGUGGUUAAUAUAUUUGAGGGUUGCAGCAGGCACAAAACAAUUUGGUGGUUAGCUUCCAUAUUUUUCCCCAAAUAAUCAAUUUAACAUCUUUCAUCUGAUUAUACUAUCUUUUUUGCUUUCUUGGUGUGUGUUUUGUUAGAAGUAAUAACUUGCUUAUAUACUUGGACUAACUUUGGACAUGAUUAUACUAUCUCAUAACUUGCUGACUGUAAAGCUUUCUCUGUGAAUUAGUUACGUAUUUGACUGGCCUAACAAUUCUUGGAUAUUCUUUGGACAUGGGAAGGAGCAUAUUAAUUUGGCCGAUGAGCAUUUACAGAAGUUGAUAUACAGUGGCCAGCUUGAUCAGAAGGAACUGGACAGCAUGCAAAAAAAUCAUUCCUAUUGUCAGAGCUUGCACGAAAGCGAGGCCACAAAUGCAGUUCUUCUAUAAGACUUAUAUGAGAUAUGUCAAUUGCAGAACUGUACGUAAGAUUUAGUUUGAAUACUAAGAGAUGUCUGGAACGGUUCUGAUCCUCUAGAGUAUAAUAUUGCUGGUAUUCAGAUACGUUCUUGCAUAUCCGAGUUCUUAAACUUACGCCUAUGUUGGGUCAAGGAGAAGCAGAUAGCGGUGAAUAUAUGAAUGAUAUUUGUGCCCAGGACAAUGGUGUGCUACUUGAUCAGUUUAUGUACUCCACUCGGAAUUAAAGUGCAGUGGCGCCGGCGGACUCCUCCGCGACUUUGACCUGGAUUUGGGCAAAGAGAAUAGCCACAGAAGGUGAUUUGGAGAAGGGAUCUCACUAUUACUCACUAAACUGUUACGUGACACUGAAAAAUGGUACACUUCAUAAGUUACGUUUCAUAUCCACCUACUGAAGCAUUUCGUGGUGAUGGGAUUAUGUGCUUUGCCAUCAAUGAAUGCUGAUGAACCUCCACCGUGUAUUCUUGAAGUUAAGUGUCACCUUCAGCAAUUCUGAUUGGAAAAUGCAUCACUUUUCUUAUAUUUAUUCGCAGUUUAUAUAUCCUGCAAGUGUUCGUCCCGGUGGCCAUGUAUUAGCUAAAUGACUAGCCACUCAUGUUUAUACAUAGAAUGCCUUUUUUCCUACCCCUGAUUGGUGCAUGACUUCUUGUUCUGAUAGAACAGGGUCACCUAUCAGUCUAUCACACAUAAUCACCACCCACCGCCACACAACAUGUGGAUGAGAGAGGCGGUGGGAUGGAGAUGCAGGGGAGAAGAAGGAGGCCGACGACAUGCAGGAAGAGUAGGCUGGCCUUGGCUUAUUGAAUUUGAUCCAAAUAGAAAAGCUCCAGGCUUAGGAACAUUUUGAGAGAAUUGAGUUGCUGAAUAAGAAGGAUAAACUCGCCGCGCCUUGAGAAGCCGUCCACAACCGGCUCCUGGCGGAGCUCGCUCGCGCCGGAGCCGGAGGUCGCCUGCCCGGUCUCUGGUAGAGCUCGCCCGCGCCGGCCCCUGGCAAAGGGAGCCCGCGCCACCGCGGCGUCCCUGGCGGCGGUGCAUCUAGGGGAAAGGCGCUCGAGCGCCGGCGGCGGCAGGGAGCAGCGACGUCGGCGGCUAGAGGCGGCAGGGAUCAGCGAGUACGACGGCUGGACGCAGCAGCCGCGGUGACAGAGCCGCGCGUGGCGGCGCAUCCGGCGGAACUGGUCGGAGUUGGAGCAGACAACGCAGGAAGGUCGGGGAGGGACCAGGAGAAGGCACGCGGGGCUGGGCUGGCCUGGUUCGUGGCCGACACCAGCCACAACUAGGGUUUUGUCGUUGUCCUUGGCAGGCGGUGGUCGACGGCGAUGGGAGACACCUCAGGUCUGGGGGAGCCAUGGCUAGCCCCAACCCGUUUCUCUCUUAUUAACCUGGAACUGCUACUUUGGUCCAUCUCUUCCUCCUGCUCAACAGCUGAAGCACACACAGCCAGUGCAGAACCGUUCUGCCAGAACGCCUGCCUAUUUGCCUCUCAAGAAGACUUGUUUUCUCUAUGCCUACAAGGUGGUUGAUGAAAUUCCAAGAAGGAUCUGGGGAUGGAUUGAUCUAGGCAAGCCAUGUGAUUUACAUCCAGCUUCAAAUCAUCAGCAACUUCCCAGGUUACGUUGGAAGAAUAAAACACCAGAAUGUGCCCGCGUUGGCGGCAAAGAACAUGGGGGUUGUGGUCUGCGGUUGCAGUUCAGCCUGCUUAGCAAGGCAGCAAUGGAUCCUUCUUUGCCUAGAAAUGGCCAAUUCUGUAUGUAACGUGUUAAUUUCUUUUGCUUGAUACUUUAAUAACCCCUAAUUCUUGGUACGGAGUAUUCUUUUCCCUUGUAUGCGACUUUCUGACCAUUAUUUUCCGGCUUGACAUAUUUUUCACUUCUAGAGCAAUACAUUGCUAGCAUCUUUAGAUGCUAUAAUAUGUAUGAGUAGAUGUGGUCUUUUAAGUUGUUAAAUCUCUCCAUUAUAACAUGAUAUCUUCUUUUCUUUACAGGUCAAGACAUCAUUUCCAAAUAUAGAGUAUUAUGUCCAUCCAAAUUCGUGCAUCUAGCCAAGCAAUUUUUGAUGUUGCUUUGAGCUAGCUGAAUGGUUUAGAGAUGGUUCUUCAUUUCGGCUUCUCUUCGUUUCUGGCUUGUACUGGCUGCUUCUUUCAGAGCUUAUAUGUGAUUUUCCUUCUUUUCAAAUUUAUCUCUAAACCUACUAAUUUGUUUGAUGGUAGAUGCGAGCGCCAUAUAGACACUCCAGUGUCCUCGUCAUUCUAAAUGCUUUGGGGGUGUUACCGUCUGUUUAAUCCAUUUAUUGUUCGCAUGAAGGCUUGCACAACUCUUUGUGGUCAUUGCCUUCGAAGACGGCACGAGAGCAGGCCGUCCACCACUGACAACUGGAGGACAGCCUGCUCUCGUGUGGUUUCUUAUUUCAUGUUUUACUUAUUUAGUACUUACGUUUCUCCUCGUGGUUUCUUAUUUCAUGUUUUACUUACUCAUGUUUUAUCAACCUGGUAAAGAAUCUUACCAUUUGAGGUUGUCAUUCAUGCCAGGUGAGCUCAAACACCAUUCUUGCAUCAUAAAGGGCAUUUAGGUGUUUUGUUGUCAUGAGAGAGCUAUGGGGAUCCCAAAGAUGAAAACUUGAUCCUACGGAUCUCAAAAGAAGAUCUAGCUAUGAUGUUGCUGUCAAGGGCCCAAAGAAGUAGUGAAUCAGAGGGACAAGAGGGCGAGGAUGCUGUUAACACAUAAAACAAAGAGGAAUAUCAAUGUGUGGAGGAAGCUUCAUCACCGCCGUCCCUCGCUUGCCGUCUUCCAACACCAGGGAUGAUACAUAUAUCUCUACAAAUAUUGUGCAUAUGUUUUAGUGCCUAUACAAGAGUACCCAACUUAUAUAUUGUUAACUGUCGAGAGACUGAUACUGAUAUUAUAUUUAUGAAGUAAAUUCAAUGCAGAUUUUUGUC